rnacentral:lncRNA from 1 species
AAUUAAUUCUUAAUUUAGAUCGGUACCUUUUACAUAAUAAUUACUGUCUCCCCGGUUUGUGUCGUAAUGUACAGUUAUAAUUAAGUGAACUAUAAUAAUAAUAAUAAUAAUCCAGAAUGGAAGAAAAACUGACAGCAUCGAUCAUGCAGUGGUUAUUGAUCAUCUAAUACAUUUUCAGAACCUAAGUUCCAUUUACUGUUGCAUCCUUCAGAUAUGGAAGUGAGAUAGCACUUUUCCUAUUGCGAUUGGUAGUAGAAAGGAUUACGGAUGAACCGAAUGUAUCAUCCGACGUCACUAAUCAUUCCAGAUUCAGUUACAUAAAUGCCUCCAUUCUUUCUCGCUGCUCCAAUUUUAGUAUUCAUAAAUUACGGUCGAAAGUUUUUGCCGAGUAAUUUCACCUUCCCACUUGUCGAAAUUUAGAAAAUAUCGAAAGUACUCGGUAAAAUUAUCGACAGAUUGAAGUAACCAGACCCAAGCAAUAACGCUGGUUUUAGUUUUUUAAUUUGGGAAAGCGGACGUUGGUAAGAGGUAUUUAUCAUGGCGAGGGCGAGAAAAUAUAUACUGAUUGCAGUCGGAAAUUAAAAAUAAUUGUUUAAUAACUGUUGAUAAACUGCUAUUAGUGUAAACAUAGUCGGGAAGUUUUGGUGCAGCCGCCAACUGCCGAACGAAUUGCUGGCGGUGAGGAAGAAAUAUCUGUUCUCUUUUAAAUGAUUAUUUUAUUAUUUUUUAAAUUUUUGAUGCGUUUAAUUUUGUUCGGAGACUACCGUCUGUCAACAUGUACGCAUUCGAUUCUGUAGUUGGUUUUUAUGUAAUGACAGGAAUAAGAAAUCACCGACAAAUAGCUGUCUUGAUUUGGUUUGGUGUGGCUUACACAAUCCCAUUUCACGUCGAACUCGACAAGAAAUUGCAUUUUGCUAGUUGCCUUUUUCCCCUUUUUUUUCCUUCCUCUUCAGCCUCGCCUCUGUUAUAUUAUCCCGGAUACGAGUUAAUAACUAGCGAAAGAACUGACUGGAAAAGUAAAAUUAAGAGGGGGGAAAAUAGGAUGAAGAAAUAAAAAUCGGAGCGUAAAGUUUCUAAAGAUUUCUCUCCGAUGUGGUUACGUCGCUACCGACUGGCUUUUGACGAGGAAAGGAUCAGGGAGGGGAGCAUCGGUUGUGCGCGCAAAUCUGCUAAUUGAUUCGUAGUAGCCAGCCGUCGAUUCUGAAUUACACUUCCGAGUUGACUCCAUACCUCGCUGUAAACUAAAUCGAAUCCUAUUAACGUAUUUCUUUGCCGAAAAAAUUUUAAA